rnacentral:rRNA from 1 species
AUUGAACGCUGGCGGCAGGCUUAACACAUGCAAGUCGAGCGGGGUGAUGGUGCUUGCACUAUCACUUAGCGGCGGACGGGUGAGUAAUGCUUAGGAAUCUGCCUAUUAGUGGGGGACAACAUCUCGAAAGGGAUGCUAAUACCGCAUACGUCCUACGGGAGAAAGCAGGGGAUCACUUGUGACCUUGCGCUUAUAGAUGAGCCUAAGUCGGAUUAGCUAGUUGGUGGGGUAAAGGCCUACCAAGGCGACGAUCUGAAGCGGGUCUGAGAGGAUGAUCCGCCACACUGGGACUGAGACACGGCCCAGACUCCUACGGGAGGCAGCAGUGGGGAAUAUUGGACAAUGGGGGGAACCCUGAUCCAGCCAUGCCGCGUGUGUGAAGAAGGCCUUAUGGUUGUAAAGCACUUUAAGCGAGGAGGAGGCUCUUUUGGUUAAUACCCAAGAUGAGUGGACGUUACUCGCAGAAUAAGCACCGGCUAACUCUGUGCCAGCCGCCGCAGUAA